CUUCACCGAGCCGAGCCACAGCGGUUCGGUGCGCUGCUGCCCGUAGGUCGCCAACAGCGCCUGCGCCUC
rfam:Streptomyces qinglanensis strain SCSIO M10379 C811, whole genome shotgun sequence.